AUGAACGCUAGCGGCAGGCCUAAUACAUGCAAGUCGAACGGUGGAUCGGGUAGCAAUACUUGAUUGAGAGUGACGUAAGGGUGCGUAACACGUAUGCAAUCUACCCUCAACAGGAGUAUAGCUCGGGGAAACUCGGAUUAACACUCCAUAACAUUACGAUGUGGCAUCACAUUGUGAUUAAAACUCCGGUGGUUGAGGAUGAGCAUGCGUCUGAUUAGUUAGUUGGAGGUGUAACGGACCCCCAAGACGAUGAUCAGUAGGGGAACUGAGAGGUUGAUCCCCCACACUGGCACUGAGAUACGGGCCAGACUCCUAUGGGAGGCAGCAGUAGGGAAUAUUGGUCAAUGGGUGAGAGCCUGAACCAGCCAUGCCGCGUGCAGGAAGACGGCCUUCUGGGUUGUAAACUGCUUUUAUCUGGGAAGAAAAGUCGGGAUUUAUCCUGAUCUGACGGUACCAGAGGAAUAAGCACCGGCUAACUCCGUG
rnacentral:rRNA from 1 species